GGCAGCCGCCGCGGUAACACCGGCGGCCCGAGUGGUGAUCGUGAUUAUUGGGUCUAAAGGGUCCGUAGCCGGUUUGGUCAGUCCUCCGGGAAAUCUGAUAGCUCAACUAUUAGGCUUUCGGGGGAUACUGCCAGACUUGGAACCGGGAGAGGUAAGAGGUACUACAGGGGUAGGAGUGAAAUCUUGUAAUCCCUGUGGGACCACCUGUGGCGAAGGCGUCUUACCAGAACGGGUUCGACGGUGAGGGACGAAAGCUGGGGGCACGAACCGGAUUAGAUACCCGGGUAGUCCCAGCCGUAAACGAUGCUCGCUAGGUGUCAGGCAUGGCGCGACCGUGUCUGGUGCCGCAGGGAAGCCGUGAAGCGAGCCACCUGGGAAGUACGGCCGCAAGGCUGAAACUUAAAGGAAUUGGCGGGGGAGCACAACAACGGGUGGAGCCCUGCGGUUUAAUUGGACUCAACGCCGGACAACUCACCGGGGGCGACAGCAAUAUGUAGGCCAAGCUGAAGACUUUGCCUGAAUCGCUGAGAAGUGGUGCAUGG
rnacentral:rRNA from 1 species